CAUAUUUGUUUAUUUAUCUAUUAGUAUAAAUAUAAAAAAAUAAAUUGAAGUUUGAUUAGAAAUACGAAAAGACUUUUUCGACUACCUAAUACAAGGUAUAUUUUACAAGAUCUUCGAUGUUUCCGUCUGGAAACCUUAUACCAAAAUAAAGAAUAUUUUGCAUUUUAGUAAAAUAAUACUCCGUACUUUACACAUCUAUUUUACUUGCUAUACUUUUCACGAAAAAAAACAGAACUAACUAAAAAUCCCGCACAAGUUGAAAUUAUUCAAAAUGCCUGUAGACCUGUGUCGCAAAAUUAUCAGGCUUAACUACAUAUAUCACAACAAUAGUAAAACACAAAGUAUCGUAAACUAAACAGCCGACAAGUCAAUAAAGACAAAAGGGCGCAAUCACACAGGAAAGAUGAGUAAAUUACUCGCUUGUGGCGUAAUCAAGUCGUAAGUAAAUACUUGGUCGCUGGCUUUCUACAAUAUUUGGCAUCAUAAUUUGAGUCACGUGGCGAUAAGAAAAAUAGCUGUGGAUGGAGAUCAGCGCAAAAGAUGUUCAGGGUAACUCGAGCAAGAAAGCAAUUCACGUUCGAAUGUACCAAAAAAACUCUGCGACCAUCCUAUCCACUGUGAAGAAACUAACAACGCUUACACAUGGUUAUAAACCUGUUGACUUCGUAUGCGUCACACCAACACACAUUUAAUGGC